GCCGACGUAGCUCAGCUGGUAGAGCUCUCGCCUUGUAAGCGAGUGGUCCGCGGUUCGAGUCCGCGCGUCGGCU
rnacentral:tRNA from 1 species